UGAGCUCAGUCGGUCAACCUCCCCGCUUGUUUUUUGUCGUCCUCUAUUCUUUCUUUUGCUGGCGUAUGUGAGGCAGCAUAGUGAGGGUAUUCAGCCAGCUCUUUUUCGGUGCCUGUGUGUGUUAGAUGGGGUAAUUCUGGCAGAGUGGGUGUGGGCGCUGGUCUGGCGGGUGGGGGUGUGGAGGGGGGGGGGGAGGGUGCUGGACGAGGCACAGUGAAAGAAACCAGCCUGGCACUGUUUGGACCAGCGCCAGAGGCUCCAUGGGAGUCGCACUCACUGCAGAGUCAUUUGGCAACUUCACUACUUUUUAUCGCCGUGGCCAGAAACAAAAGGACAACAGGGGGGGGGAGAGUGAGCAAGGGGAUAGAGUCAAUACAAACUCACAGAAGGAUGAAGACUUCUCGUGUGCUCGCAUCGGCUCAAGUCACCCCGACGGACGGAGAGCAUUUAGCCAGUACGACUGCUGACACAGAUAUACUUUGAUUGUGGCUGACGGUGCCCGUGAACAUGACCUGGCAGUGCCAAACAACCUGCUGCUAAAAGACAGAACUGUCUCACGACAGGAGGGCAGGAAGAGACUGCCUGAGGGCAGCCAGGCCUCUGUGACAUUUCAGUCCUUUAUGCUCCUGCAAUCUGUUAGUGCUCAGAAAAAAAAAGAGGGGGAAAAAAAAAACAUUUUUGUUGAAUAUCAAAAAGUGCCCUUAUGCAUCAAGAAGGGCAUUAUCAACUCAAGUGUGAUGGUGUUUCUUUUUACUUUCCUUCAUCCUUCAAACACUUCAUCCAUGGAGUACCGGCAUGGAAACAACUGCUUCUUUUCAGGGCUUUUCUAUGCUGUGUGGCUUCAUAAUAAACUCUGUAAGUCUGAAAUAAACUGCAGGUUGUUGCCUUUUGUCGGUUAGAGAUCAUCCCUCACCUACCGA